UGGGGAAUAUUGGACAAUGGGCGCAAGCCUGAUCCAGCCAUGCCGCGUGAGUGAAGAAGGCCUUCGGGUUGUAAAGCUCUUUUGUCCGGAAAGAAAAGCAUUCGGUUAAUAACCGGGUGUCAUGACGGUACCGGAAGAAUAAGCACCGGCUAACUUCGUGCCAGCAGCCGCGGUAAUACGAAGGGUGCAAGCGUUACUCGGAAUUACUGGGCGUAAAGCGUGCGUAGGUGGUUCGUUAAGUCUGAUGUGAAAGCCCUGGGCUCAACCUGGGAAUGGCAUUGGAUACUGGCGGACUGGAGUGCGGUAGAGGAUGGCGGAAUUCCUGGUGUAGCAGUGAAAUGCGUAGAGAUCGGGAGGAACAUCCGUGGCGAAGGCGGCCAUCUGGACCAGCACUGACACUGAGGCACGAAAGCGUGGGGAGCAAACA
rnacentral:rRNA from 1 species